GUUUAAUUAGGAUGAAUACUAAACUGAUUAAAUUUGACUAAAUUCACUAUUUAUUAUUUUAUGAAAAUUAAAAAUUCAAUGGAAAAAAAAAAUAAAAAAAUAAAAAAAGGAAAAAGUAAACUAGCUUCCGUGAUUGGCGAUGGGAUUGAGAAGUGCUUGCAAAGCAUAUUAGGUGGAAGGCGCAUUUUCGCCGCUUCUGGUUUUUGUCUCCAAGAAAAACAACUUCGGAUUAGUCAAACCACCAUAGCCUUCCUCUUCUGUUGUAACUUGUAAGAGAUGACACAGCGACACUCCACCUAUCCACAAAACUUUUAAGCAAGACCCACACACACAUGAAUGUAUAUAUUCUUUUUAAUUCGAAUAACAAGUAUGUCAAAACCCAU
rnacentral:lncRNA from 1 species